rnacentral:rRNA from 1 species
GACGAACCGUACGAACGUUAUUCGGAAUUACUGGGCUUAAAGGGUGCGUAGGCUGUGCGGAAAGUCGGUUGUGAAAUACCUCAGCUUAACUGAGGAACUGCAGUCGAUACUGCCGUGCUAGAGGAAGAUAGAGGUAAGCGGAACUUAGGGUGGAGCGGUGAAAUGCGUAGAUAUCUGGAGGAACACCGGUGGCGAAGGCGGCAUCCUGGACCGGUACUGACGCUGAGGUGCGAAAGCGUGGGGAGCAAACAGG